AUGGGGAAGCAUACAGCAGUAGCACUAGUGCUUCUCGGUGUGCUCUGUGGAAUAGCUUCUCAUGGGGUCGACGCCCAGUAUUACUGGACGACCGCCACGGCGACGUUCUACGGCGGCGGCGACGGCUCCGGCACUAUGGGAGGCGCGUGUGGGUACGGCAACCUGUACAACUCGGGGUACGGGAUCAACAACGCGGCGCUGAGCACGGCGCUCUUCAAUGACGGCGCCAUGUGCGGCGCGUGCUACACCAUCUACUGCGACACCGGCCGGAGCAGGAUGUGCAAGCCGGGCACCCAGAUCACCGUCUCCGCCACCAACUUCUGCCCGCCCAACUGGGCGCUCCCCAGCGACAACGGCGGCUGGUGCAACCCGCCGCGCGUGCACUUCGACAUGUCGCAGCCCGCCUGGACCAGCAUCGCCAUCUACCAGGCCGGCAUCGUCCCCGUCGUGUACAGGAGGGUCUCCUGCCAGAAGCGCGACGGCAUCCGCUUCGGCAUCUCCGGGAGGGACUACUUCGAGCUGGUGGUGAUCACCAACGUCGGCGGCAGCGGGGUCGUGUCCCAGAUGUGGAUCAAGGGCUCCAACACCAACUGGCUCGCCAUGAGCCGCAACUGGGGCGCCAACUGGCAGAGCAACGCCUACCUCAACGGCCAGAGGCUCUCCUUCAGGGUCAGGCUCGACGACGGCCGCGAGGCCACCGCCACCGACGUCGCCCCCUCCAACUGGUGGUUCGGGGCCACCUACACUUCCUGGAUCAACUUCUACUAG
rnacentral:rRNA from 1 species